UACAGAGGGGGCAAGCGUUGUUCGGAAUUACUGGGCGUAAAGGGCGCGUAGGCGGCCUUCUAAGUCGAACGUGAAAUCCCUGGGCUCAACCCAGGAACUGCGUCCGAGACUGAAAGGCUCGAAUCCGGGAGAGGGAUGUGGAAUUCCAGGUGUAGCGGUGAAAUGCGUAGAUAUCUGGAGGAACAUCGGUGGCGAAGGCGGCAUCCUGGACCGGUAUUGACGCUGAGGCGCGAAAGCCAGGGGAGCAAACGGG
rnacentral:rRNA from 1 species